rnacentral:misc_RNA from 1 species
GUGCCUUAGUCACUAUGGAAACAUUAGAUAUGCAAGCAAAGUGAAGUAAUGGCAAUUUUGAUACCCAAGCAAGUGCAUGAAACUCAAGUAAGAAUUAAGAGAGAUCUUAAGGAGAAAAAUGAGAUGGGAGAGAACAAUGCAAGAGUGGCCGAACAUGAGUGUGAACAAAAAAGUGCUGAAAAUGAGAAGAAAGAAAUUAAGAGUGAAAGAAGAAAUGAGCAAAAGAGAGCAUUUGAAAAAAGAAGAGUACUUGAGGCAAAAGGAGAGAAGAG